rnacentral:rRNA from 1 species
AUUGAACGCUGGCGGCAUGCUUUACACAUGCAAGUCGGACGGCAGCGGGGGUGCUUGCACCUGCCGGCGAGUGGCGAACGGGUGAGUAAUAUAUUGGAACGUACCGAGUAGUGGGGGAUAACUAAGCGAAAGUUUAGCUAAUACCGCAUACGACCUGAGGGUGAAAGCGGGGGACGGGAGACUGCCUCGCGCUAUUUGAGCGGCCAAUAACUGAUUAGCUAGUUGGUGGGGUAAAGGCCUACCAAGGCGAUGAUCAGUAGCGGGUCUGAGAGGAUGAUCCGCCACACUGGGACUGAGAGACGGCCCAGACUCCUACGGGAGGCAGCAGUGGGGAAUUUUGGACAAUGGGGGCAACCCUGAUCCAGCCAUGCCGCGUGUCUGAAGAAGGCCUUCGGGUUGUAAAGGACUUUUGUUAGGGAAGAAAAGGGAAGUGCUAAUAUCACUUUUUGCUGACGGUACCUAAAGAAUAAGCACCGGCUAACUACGUGCCAGCAGCCGCGGUAAUACGUAGGGUGCGAGCGUUAAUCGGAAUUACUGGGCGUAAAGCGAGCGCAGACGGUUAUUUAAGUCAGAUGUGAAAUCCCCGAGCUUAACUUGGGAACUGCGUUUGAAACUGGGUAACUAGAGUAUGUCAGAGGGGGGUAGAAUUCCACGUGUAGCAGUGAAAUGCGUAGAGAUGUGGAGGAAUACCGAUGGCGAACGCGCCCCCCUGGGAUAAUACUGACGUUCAUGCUCGAAAGCGUGGGGUAGCAACAGGAUCAGAUACCCUGGUAGUCCAAGGGCGAAUCCACAGUGGGUAUCAGCUAUCGAUACCGUCUACCUCGAGGGGGGGGCCCGGUUACUCCACUUUUGUUCCCUUUAGUGAGGGUUGAUUAUAUA